GGAAAGGGCCUGAGCUCGGUGGCAGAGUAUCUGCCUUACAUGCAGAAGGUCCCAGGUUCGAUCCCUGGCGUCUCCA